AUGGUUGAAACUGAGAAACAUUUGAUAUUUUCAUUGGUAUACACACUUAUUGAGUUGGCUUUGAUAUCGCCGGUGUCAACGGCAUCUGUUGAGAGAGCUUUUUCAGCAAUGAAGAUUAUCAAGACUAAACUGUGUAGCAAGAUCAAUGAUGAAUGGUUCAAUGACUUGAUGAUAUGUUACACCGAGUGGGAGCUAUUCAAGUCAGUUGAUCAUAAGGGUAUUAUUCAAACAUUUACUGCAAUAAGUUCUUGGAAAGGGCAUUUGCAUCGUGAUUUUCUUUAUUGCAUUGUCGGUAUGUUCCAUCUGACCAUCUCUAUUCUUGCAAGCUUUUGA
rnacentral:rRNA from 1 species